rnacentral:rRNA from 1 species
AGCAGCCGCGGUAAUUCCAGCUCCAAUAGCGUAUAUUAAAGUUGUUGCAGUUAAAAAGCUCGUAGUUGAAUUUCGGGAUCAAUACGUCGGUCGUGCUCCGGUACGUACUGGCGUCAUUGAUUUCUCCCUUCUGACGAACCAUGAUGUCAUUAACUUGGUGUCAUGGGAAAUCAGGACUGUUACUUUGAAAAAAUUAGAGUGUUUAAAGCAGGCUCACGCUUGAAUACAUUAGCAUGGAAUAAUGAAAUAGGACGUUCGAUCCUAUUUUGUUGGUUUUAGGAUCAACGUAAUGAUUAAUAGGGAUAGUUGGGGGCAUUAGUAUUCAAUUGUCAGAGGUGAAAUUCUUGGAUUUAUUGAAGACUAACUACUGCGAAAGCAUUUGCCAAGGAUGUUUUCAUUAAUCAAGAACGAAAGUUAGGGGAUCGAAGACGAUCAGAUACCGUCGUAGUCUUAACCAUAAACUAUGCCGACUAGGGAUCGGAUGAUGUUAAUUUUUUAAUGACUCAUUCGGCGCCUUACG